rnacentral:sRNA from 1 species
AAACGAACCUGAACCAUAUGGAAAGCAGCGUUUCGAGAUGGAACUGUUUUCAAGACUCAAAAAUGGUGCACCAAAAUCGACUCCACAGAGCAAGAACAGCCAGCAUACGCUAGCUCUACAGAAACGCACUGAUCUACCAUUUCCAGAAAAGAAUUUCCCGAGAUGACGACAAACAUUACUAAUAAUUGCCUUUUAAUUCCUGCAGUAUGUGGGAGGAAAUAUAAAAGUUGGCAGGGUGAAACAGAAUGAAAUGAGUAAGGAAAACAUGUUACCAAUUUGCCGGGAUUCACAAGAGCGAGAAAAAGUAUUCACCAAAACCAAAUUCUACCUAAUGUAAGGAGUUAACCCCAUCAGGAAUCCAAUGGACAAUACAGUUGCACAUGUAUGUGGAACAACCCUGUCCGCCGCAGGAGCCGCCAUAAAAUAUAUGGUCUAGGAAUACAAUGAUAUCUUUUUGUCUCUCGAUCAUUGAUGAUUAGGAAGGCCAGCGACGCAAGAAGCAGAGUUGGCCCUUGACGACUACUAGUAGUUGCCAUGUGUUGUCAGGAUGGACUGAGAACAGCAAUGAUGCGAUGAGAACAGGCACCUGUCGAUAGGACAAACUAGUAAUAUAAAUCGGACGUUCUAUAUAUACACAGUACAUUUCAAUAUAAAUCAUGAGGAAAUUCUCCUUUUAGCCUAGUGGCAAAAGUCCAAUUCUCCAACAAGAAGGGGCAUUAGUCCAAGAUGUGA